GCAAAAGCUCAAAUUUGAAAUCUGGUACCUUCGGUGCCCGAGUUGUAAUUUGGAGAGGGCAACUUUGGGGCCGUUCCUUGUCUAUGUUCCUUGGAACAGGACGUCAUAGAGGGUGAGAAUCCCGUGUGGCGAGGAGUGCGGUUCUUUGUAAAGUGCCUUCGAAGAGUCGAGUUGUUUGGGAAUGCAGCUCUAAGUGGGUGGUAAAUUCCAUCUAAAGCUAAAUAUUGGCGAGAGACCGAUAGCGAACAAGUACAGUGAUGGAAAGAUGAAAAGAACUUUGAAAAGAGAGUGAAAAAGUACGUGAAAUUGUUGAAAGGGAAGGGCAUUUGAUCAGACAUGGUGUUUUGUGCCCUCUGCUCCUUGUGGGUAGGGGAAUCUCGCAUUUCACUGGGCCAGCAUCAGUUUUGGUGGCAGGAUAAAUCCAUAGGAAUGUAGCUUGCCUCGGUAAGUAUUAUAGCCUGUGGGAAUACUGCCAGCUGGGACUGAGGACUGCGACGUAAGUCAAGGAUGCUGGCAUAAUGGUUGUAUGC
rnacentral:rRNA from 1 species